AUUGAACGCUGGCGGCAGGCCUAACACAUGCAAGUCGAGCGGAUGAAGGGAGCUUGCUCCUGGAUUCAGCGGCGGACGGGUGAGUAAUGCCUAGGAAUUUGCCUGGUAGUGGGGGAUAACGUCCGGAAACGGGCGCUAAUAUCGCAUACGUCCUGAGGGAGAAAGUGGGGGAUCUUCGGACCUCACGCUAUCAGAUGAGCCUAGGUCGGAUUAGCUAGUUGGUGGGGUAAAGGCCUACCAAGGCGACGAUCCGUAACUGGUCUGAGAGGAUGAUCAGUCACACUGGAACUGAGACACGGACCAGACUCCUACGGGAGGCAGCAGUGGGGAAUAUUGGACAAUGGGCGAAAGCCUGAUCCAGCCAUGCCGCGUGUGUGAAGAAGGUCUUCGGAUUGUAAAGCACUUUAAGUUGGGAGGAAGGGCAGUAAGUUAAUACCUUGCUGUUUUGACGUUACCAACAGAAUAAGCACCGGCUAACUUCGUG
rnacentral:rRNA from 1 species